rnacentral:rRNA from 1 species
CACGUAGGGCGCAAGCGUUGUCCGGAAUUAUUGGGCGUAAAGAGCUCGUAGGUGGUUUGUUACGUCUGCUGUGAAAACCUAGGGCUUAACCCUGGGCUUGCAGUGGAUACGGGCAGACUAGAGGUAGGUAGGGGAGAUCGGAAUUCCUGGUGUAGCGGUGAAAUGCGCAGAUAUCAGGAGGAACACCGGUGGCGAAGGCGGAUCUCUGGGCCAUUACUGACGCUGAGGAGCGAAAGCGUGGGGAGCGAACAGG